AAUCAACGCUGGCGGCGCGCCUAACACAUGCAAGUCGAACGAGAAAGUCCGCAAGGAUGAGUAAAGUGGCGUACGGGUGAGUAACACGUGGAUAAUCUACCUUUUAGUGGGGAAUACCGCUGGGAAACCGGUGACAAUACCGCAUAAUCUCGAGAGAGGAAAGCCGCAAGGCGCUGAAAGAGGAGUCCGCGGCCGAUUAGCUAGUUGGUAGGGUAAUGGCCUACCAAGGCGACGAUCGGUAGCCGGCCUGAGAGGGCACACGGCCACACUGGCACUGAAACACGGGCCAGACUCCUACGGGAGGCAGCAGUGGGGAAUCUUGCACAAUGGGGGCAACCCUGAUGCAGCGACGCCGCGUGAGCGAUGAAGCCCCUCGGGGUGUAAAGCUCUUUCGGCAGGGAAGAUUAUGACGGUACCUGCAGAAGCAGCUGCGGCUAACUACGUGCCAGCAGCCGCGGUAAUACGUAGGCAGCAAGCGUUGUUCGGAGUUACUGGGCGUAAAGGGUGUGUAGGCGGUUGCCUAAGUUUGGUGUGAAAUCUCCCGGCUUAACCGGGAGGGUGCGCCGAAAACUGGGU
rnacentral:rRNA from 1 species